rnacentral:tRNA from 1 species
UCUAAUAUGGCAGAAUAGUGCAAUGGUCUUAAGAUCCAUAAAUAAAGUUAAUCUUUUUUUAGA